AGCAGCACGAUGGGACGAUAUCCCGCA
rnacentral:sRNA from 1 species